UACGAAGGGGGCGAGCGUUGUUCGGAUUUACUGGGCGUAAAGGGCGCGUAGGCGGCCUUGUCAGUCAGGCGUGAAAGCCCCGGGCUCAACCUGGGAACGGCGCUUGGGACGGCGAGGCUGGAGUUCGGGAGAGGAGAGUGGAAUUCCCAGUGUAGAGGUGAAAUUCGUAGAUAUUGGGAAGAACACCGGUGGCGAAGGCGGCAUCCUGGACCGACACUGACACUGAGGAGCGAAAGCCAGGGGAGCAAACGGG
rnacentral:rRNA from 1 species